rnacentral:rRNA from 1 species
CCUACGGGUGGCAGCAGUGGGGAAUAUUGGACAAUGGGCGAAAGCCUGAUCCAGCCAUGCCGCGUGUGUGAAGAAGGCCUUCGGGUUGUAAAGCACUUUCAGUGGGGAAGAAAGCCUUGGGGCUAAUACCCUCGAGGAAGGACAUCACCCACAGAAGAAGCACCGGCUAACUCCGUGCCAGCAGCCGCGGUAAUACGGAGGGUGCGAGCGUUAAUCGGAAUUACUGGGCGUAAAGCGCGCGUAGGCGGUCUGAUAAGCCGGUUGUGAAAGCCCCGGGCUCAACCUGGGAACGGCAUCCGGAACUGUCCGGCUAGGGUGCAGGAGAGGAAGGUAGAAUUCCCGGUGUAGCGGUAAAAUGCGUAGAGAUCGGGAGGAAUACCAGUGGCGAAGGCGGCCUUCUGGACUGACACUGACGCUGAGGUGCGAAAGCGUGGGUAGCAAACGGGAUUGGAUACCCCAGUGUC